AGAAAAAGAAGAUGGGACUUACACAAUACAUCGCCAAAGAUAAAGCCUACAUGGGUUCCUCUUAAACGGCUAAGGAACAUAAAAGAACAGAGAUGUACACACCAGAAAGGGGCCCCAGCAGACACAAGACACCACAGUAACUGCUGCAAGUUGCACCAUCAUCUCCACAUCCAACGGGCAAAAGAAGGAAGUGGAUGAUGCUGAUGAUGCACGACGACCACUGCAGGAUGAAGACUGCCAACAUGUCCAGGGAGAUGCACACCAGCUCCCAUGUGGCUCUGCAAGGACAAGUGGGUUUAGACAAUGGAUGGAUGGACUUUCAGUCACAGUCAACAUGAAGAACUUAAAAUGUGUUUUACCAACAUGUUUCAUCUUCCUGGAAGUAAUAUCGGAAUCAGCUUUAUUCUCCAGUUUCUUUCAGAAAUCUCAAACAAUGAGGAGGGACAUCAAUGGAGCCUUUCUGUCUCAACAAUUUCCUGUCAAAUCCAAAACAAAAAGGUGAUUGGCAGCAUGGUGUGCCCAUUAAAAUAAAAGUUCCACCCCUGUCUGCAUCGACUCUUCAGAGCUGGGCAGGACCGGCUGAAAAUUUGGGUAUCCUUGAAGGGACUUGGAUCGCAGCUCACAUGGCAACAACAGAAAGGAAACAGCAACAGUGUCUCCAUGUCAGUUUACCCCUUGCUAAUUCAUACCACCGGUUUAUGCUUUUGUUUCUAUUAACAUUUUGUACCUGUAAGUAAAUUAUUUUGUAAACAUCUCACUUUAACAUGAUUUUACUUUGUGUUUUAACAGAGUAUCUUCAUGAACUGGAGAUACAUGGUCAUACAAAUGCUUAUAUCUAAUUUAUAGUGCAAUUGUUUACUAGUAUUUUGACAAGAUUUCCACUUUUUGUGGUACUGAUGAUGGAUUAUGACCCCUGAUGUGGAAAAAUAGAAUUAAGUGAGGUCUUGCUGGUAGAUAUAAUUGUCUUAGUUUCAUAUAACCACUGCUGCUUACUGUAGAGUACAAGUAAAAUGUAGAAGAUUACAUGAAAGUAUUGUGUCCUGGUGAAUAUGAAUUGACACAUGGUCAGUGUGAGAUGUUCAAUAGUAGACCAUGCACGAAAAAAAGUGGGGUAACCAAAACUUCAAAAUAUUGUGAAAAAUGGCAAAAUGACCAGAAUCUACAGCAGCCAGUACAGUUUCUCUGUUAACGUGAAUGUCUUUAUCACUAUUAUCAAUGUCAAGUGUGGUGAUACAGGUCAGUAAAUCCGAUAAAGUAAAUCCAAGUGGCAAAACAUAUUGAUAUUCAUGCAGGUUAAAUGUAUAAUACUUGAAAUAAAGCAGCCUAACAAUUAUUGCA